UACGAUGAGAACAUUCAUAUUUGGCUAUCCGCAUUCAAAUUCAAAGUCAAAUAAAAAUAUAAAAUAAAUAUAGUUUCCAUGAUACCCGAUCAUAGUAACAAGAGGAGAGGAAAAGUGAAUUGAUGCAAAGCGUAGUUUGGAUCGAAUCGCUAGGAAAUACUGUAGCCGGCAGACAAUUUCACAUGUAUUUUCUUUCCCUCCACCUCAUCCGAACGAGUUCUCAUCUUCGAUUCCUCUUCGCCGCUGCAGCUCCAGAAUGGCUGCUAAACCCUUCCUCUCAAUCCCUGCCGCGGCGGUGGCUCGCCUUCCCUUUCGCCUCCUCUGCUCGGCAGCUCCACCUCCCCGCCUCCUCCCUUUCUUCCCCCAGCCAUUCCUGCUCCAAAGACGCAGCCUUUCCGCCUCCACCGUACCCGCCGGCAGGCGUAGCAGUCCUCCGGCCCCGGUCAUCAGCGAGGGCAGGGAUGACGAGGACGCCGCCGUCGGCCGGCCUGUAUGUCCUGGAUGCGGGGUCUUUAUGCAGGAUGAGGAUCCCAACCUCCCUGGCUUCUUCAAGAACCCCUCCCGCAGCUCCCAGGACGAGACGGGAGGAAGUGGAGAAGUGCUCCUGGCCGCCGAUACGGAUGCGUUUCUUGAAGAAGAAGAUGAUAAUGAUGAUCGGAGGGUGGCGGAUGACGCGUCGGAUGCUGAACUGGAGGGUCUGGACAGCGAUAUCGAUGAGUUCCUUGAAGAAUUCGAUAAGGGGGACGAAGAUGACGGGUUACCGGUGAAAAGCGCCACUGAUACCGAUGCUUUCGCCAGCGAUUGGGACUCUGAUUGGGAGGAGAUGGAAGAAGACGAGGAUGAGAAAUGGAGGAAAGAACUGGAUGGUUUCACCCUGCCGGGUGUCGGGUACGGGAACAUCACUGAGGAAACGAUCGAGAGGAUGAAGAAAGAGAAGCUGUCCAAGUCCCAGAGGAAGCGCCAGGCGAGGGAGGCCAAAAGGGCUGAGGCCGAGGAGGAUUCAGCCCUCGUCUGUAGCCGGUGCCACUCGCUGAGGAACUAUGGGCUUGUGAAGAAUGACAAGGCUGAGAACCUGAUCCCGGACUUUGAUUUCGAUCGGUUCAUCUCGUCUCGGCUCAUGAAGCGGUCAGCUGGUACCCCGGUCAUCGUCAUGGUGGUGGACUGCGCAGACUUCGAUGGGUCGUUUCCUAAGCGAGCUGCCAAGUCAUUGUUCGAGGCACUUGAAGGAAGGAGAAAUUCAAAGGCGAGUGAAACGCCGAGACUUGUUCUUGUUGGUACAAAGGUGGAUUUGCUUCCAUGGCAGCAAAUGGGAGUGCGGUUGGAUAAGUGGGUCCGUGGCCGUGCUAAGGCUUUGGGAGCACCCAAGCUAGAUGGUGUGUUCUUGAUCAGCGUCCACAGAGAUUUGGCUGUUAGAAACCUAAUUACAUACAUCAAGGAGUCAGCAGGACCUCGUAGCAAUGUUUGGGUGAUUGGUGCACAGAAUGCUGGGAAAUCUACGCUGAUCAAUGCUUUUGCAAAGAAACAGGGUGUUAAGAUCACAAGAUUGACUGAAGCUGCUGUCCCGGGAACAACAUUAGGCAUAUUGAGGGUAACAGGUGUUUUACCUGCAAAGGCAAAGAUGUAUGACACUCCUGGCCUGUUGCAUCCUUACAUAAUGGCAAUGAGAUUAAAUAAUGAGGAACGGAAGAUGGUUGAAAUAAGGAAAGAAAUGCGGCCACGAUCCUUCAGGGUGAAAGUAGGACAAUCCGUACAUAUUGGAGGCUUGGCACGGCUGGAUGUGCUAAAAUCAUCAGUGCAAACUAUCUAUAUAACUGUUUGGGCAUCUUCCAAUGUUCCCCUCCAUCUUGGAAAGACUGAAAAUUCUGAUGAAUUGCGAGACAAACAUUUUGGCAUCAGACUUCAGCCACCAAUUGGCCCAGAGCGAGUCGAUGAAUUGGGUCACUGGACAGGAAGAUCUAUUGAGGUGUCUGGGGCAAGCUGGGAUGUCAACAGUAUGGACAUUGCUGUUUCUGGCCUUGGAUGGUACUCCUUGGGCCUUAAAGGCACUGCCACUGUUUCCUUAUGGACAUUUGAGGGCAUUGGUGUGACAGAACGUGAUGCAAUGAUUCUGCACCGAGCCCAGUUUCUCGAAAGGCCUGGAUUUUGGUUACCUAUUGCCAUUGCUAAUGCUAUAGGUGAGGAGACAAGAAAGAAGAACGAAAAGAGAAAGGCUGAGCAAAGAAGAAGAGAGGAAGAAGAGCUCCUUUUGGAAGAAAUGGUUUAGUGAUGAUUCUGUAGCCCAGCCCACAAAGUUAGGAUUCUGUUUCUCUUGUCAACACGGGCUUUUGUUUAUCCUAGUUCUUGAUGUCUUUUGACAUAGGCUGCAUCCUGUGAUUUUUUUUCUUAGCUUAUGUAUAUCUCAAAUUUUCUGUGUAUUUGUUUUCCAUGUGUUUUACAACCAGUUUUGUCAGUUCUGCUUGCAUCUUACAGAUUCAAUUCCUGCAACUUGAGGAAAAUUGAUAUCCUAGAUUACCUAUUCAGCUGUGUGCAAAAUGGGACUGUUUAGACAUGCAGAGCAGCCAAUUUAUUAUGUACUAUUUUUUGAAUUGAAAACAAUUUAUUAUGCACUAAAUGUUUUGCCUUCUUAUUUGAACUCCAAAGGAAGGUCUCUCUUUACAUGGUUGCAGCAGCAAGCGCUCACAUGUUAGCAUCUGUUUUCAGGUUGCAAUGGAGAUGUUUCCAUGGAGCAUUAUUAAAAAAAGUAGUGUGUAGAGUGUUGAAAUACUUGUAAGUUGGAACCUGCAUUGCUACUGGCUAAUGAUUUUGCACUGGUUAGGACAGAUGGUUUCAUUCUUUUUCUUGUGCUUCAGGUUUUGAAAGAUAGCACUUUGUUGAUGGAAUGAAGAUCAAGAUGGAAGCAUAAAUGAUAAGGCAGGGGUACUGGUUUUUUUUUCACAUCCUUGCCUUUUUCACUAUAUAAAAAGAUUAGACAUCCUCCAUAUCAUAUUGGUUACACGGUGCUUUUGCCCGUAGUGACGGCCAGGGUUCGAUUCUUAAAUGCUGUCCGCAUUUAUUUUUUGAUUUUUUCCACGGCCCGCUGGCCAGGGAGAGCAGGAUGGCUCGCUCGCUGGAAGAAGAUGCACGAAGGAUUUGUUCACGCUUAAAUAUAGUAGGGAUUGUAUUCCUUCAUGGUUGUUCAAUAGAGUGAUUGCAUGAAACAGUGCAGUGCUUAAAUUUGUAGUGCCCAAGAAAUUAGUGCCUCUAUGUCAGUGCUUGCUAUAGAACUAAGAAUGGCAAUAUAUCUAUGCUAGUUUUUGAAUCCUGCAACUUUUAUAUGUUUGUUACCUUCUCAUGUUCCAUACGGUUUCAUGAUAGUUUAUGGAGGAUACAACUGUUCGCGCGUGUGCUUUUCCCUUUUCUUAUUGGAGUGCGCCACAAUCCACUCUCUAUUUUAGUCAACAAUACAUUGUUAAUAUGCUAUCCAGUGUUCCUGUCCUGCAGGGCAAGGUUUCUAACACCAGGAAGGCCCUGUUGAACAUUGGGCAAAAACCAGCUCCUAGCUUAGCUCUCUCUUUCUCUCUUUUUUGUUAGCUCCUGUCUACACUUGAUUUUAAUUUGCUCUGUUUGACAAUGGCCAAGAAGUUAGAAAUGCUAAUUAUGUUACCCAUCUAUUGUUGAUUGCAGGCUGUAGGGAGCCGAAAUGUCCUGAGUGAUUUUCUGGUUUGAUAUGAUAGCAUGAGGGUUUGUGCAGAUUAUAUGACACCAUAAGGAUGUAAAGUGCUGUAUUGCUGAUUUUUUAGGCUGUAAUCUUUGUCCACUUACUUUCAUAGUGCUAACCAAUGUGAGAUAUCAGUGCUUUA